rnacentral:lncRNA from 1 species
AGAUGAGAAUAGUGGGACAGCAAUGGGGAAAGUAAGCUGCUCAUCUCAAAGAUCUGCCCUUCUCUCCUCUGGGGAUCUCAGUGAUCAUCAUCAUCUCCAUCAGAGAACAAGCAAGUGAAAAAGAAAAGGAAUGAAAUUCAAAUCAGCAUGUUGUUUUUUCCUUGUAGACCCUUUGAAAGAUUUAUUGGAGAAAGAGUCAAAACUAAUAGCCAAGGUGGGAUUUGGAGACUAUGUUAGAUUUCGCUUAUUCAUGUUCUUCCUCCUUUGCCCACCACCCCCCAUUAGCACAGAUAAUGGAAGGUUUGCUUCAUUUAUCAUAGCAAACGAAGCAAUGGUGUCAUUUUAAGUCAAGACCACAAAAAGAAAAUAGGAUUUUAAAUUGCUAUAGGAAAGACCAUUACAGAAGUGAACUAAAUUACUUCAAAGAAAGCAAAAGAACAAAUUACCAAAAGAAGUUAUGGCAUCUUCCCCUUUGAAGAUUUUUAAGAAUCAAGUAAACAGUUCCUUCAGUGAGGACCUGAUUGGAAGUGGAGAAGUCGACCUGUGAUUUUAUAAGGCCUUAUGCUCCAUAGGUUUAUAUUACCUCACUUUUUAAAUGUGAAAACUAUGGAUUACUUGAAAAAGAAGGGGGCAGGGAAUGGUAUGACUUAAUGUAUAUUGAAGAGUCCCCAGUCUUCUCCAAACUGUGAUUACAAAAUUUGGUGGCAUUACCUUUAAAAUCCAAUGAACCAAAUCCAGUAUGAUCCUAAUCACCACAGCGUGAGAGUGGUAAUAGCCCCCACCCUACACAUACACAGAUUAAGAAGAAUCCCCAGGGUGUUUAUUCUGGUUUGUGAAUCUGACAUAUUCUGCACAGAUCCUCAUAGUGGAUGAUUUCCAAAGAGUCUGGCCCACUGAUCUUGACUCCCUUAACUAUUUGCACCAGAAUACACUGCAGAAAUGGUCCUGUCCCCAGGCCAUUCUCACUGUUGGCACAGCUACCAAGGAAGAAUUCUGUUGAUUAGCCAAGAAUUUAGUGGUUUCUUGAGAUAGAAAGGACACCCCCUCCCCAAAGAUAAAUGAAAUCAAAAAAGAAUGGCUUGUACCCCAAAUGUUAAUUGGUUUUUUAGCUCUUGGUGAUUUGGCUCUUUGAAUCCUUACUCUACAUUUUAGACAGAAUUUUUAUUCUUCCUCCCAUGAAGGCUAUGCUUCAAACCAAAUUGUAUAAGGAAACUUAGCAUAUGCAUAUUGUGGUAGAAAUAUUUAGCUUCAGUGCUCAUGUGCUUGCCUCUAGUUCCUGCAUGCUCUUUGGCCAUGUGGUAGAACAUUACUGUCAAUUCCCAGCUUGUACAUUUCCUAAGGGAAAUUGUGGAGGUUCAACACAAUAUUUUCAACUAAACAAACAUUCAUUGAAUACCUCUUGCUGGUACCUAUUGCGUGUGAACAUGAAAAUUAUCUAUUGGACUUUGCUGGGGAAAAUACAAUGACACUAUGGGAACAUACAGGAGAGACCUGACACAAUCUUCAGGGGUCAAGAAGAUUUUCUGAAGGAAGUGACCUCAAAAUUUGAACCUGAAAGAAUAUCAGGAGGUUAUCAGGUAGAAAAGGGAAAUGAGUGCAUUUCAGGAAAGGAAAAUAGUUUUUGCAGAAUAUUGUACACGCAAGAGAACAUGCUGUGCUCGAGGAGCUUUACCUGAUUCUGUAUGGCUAAGGCAGAAGUCAGGUCAUAAAGAAUCUUGGAUUCUAGGCUAAAGACCUUGAACUUUAUCUUACAGGGGCUACAGAAAAUCAUUAACUGGCUUUAAACGGAGUGACAAUAUCAAGGUUGUGCCUUCAAAAAACAUUCUGUAAAUUGGUUAUAGAAGAGUGAGAAUGGAGGCCCUCAGCAGAGGUACAAUAUAAGGUUGAACUGUAAAAAAAUAGAAUAAUUUCCUGAAGGGGGAAGAAUAUGAGCUGCGCCCUGGAACUGGGAAAAGCCUGUUCAUGACUAAUGGAACAACAUGAAUGAGGUUAAGGAGACAGGAAAAUACAAGGACCAAAUGUAUAAGGAGAAGAAAGUAUGUGCCUGUGGAAUUCCUGCUGUGGGUUAAAGAUCUGGAAUUGCUACAACUCUGUCAUAGGUCAUGGCUAAGUCUCAGAUUGGAUCCCUGGCCUGGGAAGCUAUAUGUGCUGCAGGUGCAGCCAUAAAAAAUAAGGGUAGGUUCCUCAGUGGAAGUGUGGGCCUUGAGAAGUAAUGUGAUAAACAGUGAGGCUACAAGAGUAACUAAGGAUGAGUUCAGAGAAGACUCAAAUUAUACACUGACCAGUUUUUUUUCUGAUAGCAAUCUAAACCCCUGAGGAAUCUUGACACCAUCCAGUUUUAGAAAAAUAAUGCAAGAAAUGAAGCAAAUGUUAUUUUGCAUGGCUAUAGUGCCCUGUCAGUUUUUGGAAAGCAGAGAUCAUCGAUUCAUUCAUAUUUCAGUUUUCAGGAGUUAUGUUGUAUAUACUUGGCAGGUGCUCAAUACAUACAUAUAUAUGUAUUGGUUGGAAGAUGGUUGGAUGGAAGGAUGAAUGGAUAGAUGGAUGAAUAAAUGAAUCAUUGCACCAUAAGUUUAAAUGAGCUUUGGGUGAAAUAAUUUAUCAGAACAAGUAAAAAACCUAGGAAACUUAGGAAAUAGGCAAUGGGAUUCUUGCCAUGCUUGGUAGGAGUUAACAGAGAAAAUAAAUCUUCAUCCUCUUUAAUGAGCCCUCCAUCUUGAUCCUCAUCAACUCUUGUGUGUAUCCCAAAAAUCUGCCCAUUAACUACUUACUGAGACAUUGUUUCAUUCAAAAACUAUCCACAAACCUAGAGGUUCCCACUUGCUCUGAGCAAUAGGACAAGGGUAAUACCCUCUUUGGGAUCGUAUACAAAACCCUGAAGAUGGAAGUGAAAGCACAGUUUAUGUUAUAGGGCAACCAUGUAUUUUUCCCCAGCAAUCAAGACCCCCCCUCACAUCUAAAAUAAAACUCUUAAA